CUUUGCACUUUGGCUUCACGCACGGCAGCGGAUAUUUUUAGGGGUUUGCCACACUUUUGUUUUGAACGAUAAAAUCAACGGUAUGUGAUUGUUUUGAUUCAGUUGAAACGGGUUUCUAGCGGCAUUCGGUCGCAUGCAGUAGCAGUUCGCUAAUUGUGGCUAAGUGACUAAAUGGCUAAUGCAUAAAUUGCCAUACCAAAUACUCUGUGCGACGUUGUGAUUAGUGUCUACACACAACCAAACAGCAUAAUUAAGUUUGGCAAAAUGAAGCAGACUGUGCGCGAAAAUCGCUAGAAUAACAUAUAUGUGUGUGUGUGUGUAAGAUUGCUUACAGCUGCUCGAAAUAGUUUAAAAUAUUACAGCAAAAGCAUUAAAACAAGAAAAAUAACUGUGCUUGAAUUAAUAUUAAGUGAGCCCUUGAGUACCAAAAUUUGUAUAUCUUAAAGAAUUGUGGGAAAAAACUUCUGAUUUUUAGUGGCUAAAAAUUGUCUCUUCACAUGUUUAACGGAUUUAAAUAUUAAGGAAGCCUUUACUUGUGGAUUACGGCAAUUCUCUAGUGGCAUUCUCAGCAAUUCACUACCGAAGAAUUUCUUUGUUUUGCGACAGAAAUUUAUAAUGCCAAGGGUAUACUAAUUUCAGGUAAGGCAUAUGCUAUGAGUACUG